UGGCAACAGUUGUUAGUCGGGGUAAAAACAGCGGGAGAAACAGCGAAAAUGCCAAGAAGAGCAGAGAUGCUGAGAAAAAGGCCAGAAAAAAAGUGAAAAUGCUAGAAAAGGCAUCGGAAUUGUCGAAAAAAGUACCGGGAGUAUCGAAAAUAAUAUCGGGAACGUCGAGAAAAGUUUCGGCAAUGCCGUGACGACUAUUAUUAUGCUUCCAACAUCUUCCUCACACAUCCCUUCCAGUCAGCUUCAAUUGUAUGGGCUUUGAUGGUACAGAGAUCAGAUGCAAAAUCAUUUUAAUGUUGUCGCGAUUUACGCACUCAAUCUUGAACUUCUUGAUGAGCUGCAGAAAGGAAGAGAAAAAAACGAGAUGCAUCAGAAUUGGAACAAUGUCGAAUUGGAAUUUAUUAGACUCACCUGCGCCAACGUGAGAGACAGUUGCGUUUCCGCGAGUUUGCGACCAAUGCAGCUCCUCACUCCCAUCGCAAACGGCAGAGUGGCAUACGAAUUCUUCACACCUUGAUAAGAACCGUCUUUCGUCCUGAUCCACCUUUCCGGCCUGAAGUCAUUCGGUUUCGGAAAAUCGUUUCCAUUCCGGCCGCUCGAGUAUAUCGACAUGAUGAUUAAAUCCUAGGAAAUUGAAAGUUCUAUCUCUUACAAGUUGCAAACAUUUUUGUCUAUGUAAUAUGUAGAAAUCUACAAGUCUAUAGUUUGAAACGAUAUAACGCAGAAAUUUAUUAUUCCACAGGAUUACCUCCUUCGAAACGAAGUAAUCGCCUAUUGUGCUGUCCGCCGGCAAAUAUCUCGUCAGAAAUGGCGCGAUAGGGUGCAACCUUAGAGCUUCCCUCCACACGCCUUUCAGCAGAGGAUGCCGUAGAAUCUCCUCCGUCGACAGGUCCUUGAUAUCGUGAAACAACUGGUCCUGCAGCUCAGGACGACCGCUGAGCAAUAGCAACGCCCAUUGCAUGCUGAUUGCCGUCUAAAUAAUCAAAUGAUUCUAAAAAUAAUCGUUUUUUAUAAGGCACUUUAUAUAUUGAUAAAUUGAAGAACGCACUGUGUCGCCAGCAGCUAUAAUGAAAUCGACGACGAUUCUGACAAUGUCAUCAUCGCGGAUGCCGUUGCUCAUCAUCAUCUGUAAAAGUCCGUCGCUGUCUAGCUGGAUCAUUUUCGGAACUAAACUGCGUACUUUGACCAUAAUUGUGUCAGCAGUGCGAACAAACUCGGUCCAUGCCGACAGUUUGAGUUUCAUGGCCAGCUUGGCCGGCAUCAUCGACAGGGUGGCGGAAUACAUGAAAAUUUGGUGCAGCAUCAGAGCCAAAUGCUCCGCCUCGGAACGCAUUUGCUGCUUACAAUCUCGCCAUCGCGAACCUAUCAGAGUCGCCAGCAUGGCUGCAAGAACAUGCGACUUCAAUCAGUCGUAAGCGCUAACUAAAUACAUAUAUAUAUAUAUAUAUGUAAAGGCUUACUUUCGAUAGACCACAGAUAGAGCUGAGAUUCCAGAUUCGGUAUCGUAGAACCGACUAAACUGUGAUCCAUCCACUUUCUCGCUAGAUUCUCGGCGGCUUCCUGGCAAGGUGUGCACAUUAAUUUUGCUGGAUCAGGAAGCAACAUCGUCUUGUUGAGGAUACGGCGAAAGUGCAACCACUCGUCUCCAUCCCUGUUUAAAAAAACAAAACGGUGUCAAUAAAAGAACAUUCUGUGCAUACAUGAAGAGUAGUCCUCGGCGCUCCGCUCGGAUCUCGUUGUACAGCCUCCAGGCCUCUGGUAGAAAAUGUUGCGGCGUAGGACCCUCGAGUCGCAAGAAGAUGUUGCGAAAUUCAUCAGUCGAUUUGACGAAGACGGCCCGCAAUGGUCCGAUCUUAUCCUUGAAGAUUGGGCCCAGUUCUUGAUGUUUUCUGUCCACGUACUCGUGCAGUUUCUGCGCACCUCCAGCCAUCAAUAGGGACAACAUCGUACCGAACAAGGGGAUUCCUUGUGGCUCGGGCAGUGGUUUUCUCGCAGAAGUGCUAAAGUCUCGCACGAAUGUUUGCGAAAACGCCGAUCUCCUCGUCGCAUUCUGGCCGACGAAGUUCCUCGAGGAACGAGCAGUAUCUUUUUCAUUCUUUCUCUUCUCUAGGACGAAGACUCGUGGAUCGAAGCAUCCCAGCGUUCCGCGUUCCUUGGAGAACGAGACGUUGAACUCACUGCAAUAGUUCGCCGACCUCGAGAUUCUACGCGAGAUUCUUCGCACCACCCAGUGCAUCUUCACGACGACACCGGGUAUAUGAAUUCGCGGGAACUGUGUGCGACGACUGUGCGCGAAUCUUCACUGUCGACAAGAGAAAUCAGAUCGUAUCAUCGAUUCAGCAUCUUUUUCUUCGAGUCGACGAAAUUAGAAAUUAUCAGGACAAAGUUUGCAAAUGGCUAAAAGAGAGAAUCUCUAUUUUUCUGUACCGGAAAUACCGCACCAAUCUUACGUACUAUAUUAACAUAAUGCGAUGCGUUAUGCGUUUCUUCACGCACUGAGAAAGUGCUGCAUGGUCGGGAGAUAAAAAGCGCGAUUAACAAAGAAGGAUGAUAGCAGAAACGAAGUGCGUAUCAUGUGUAUGCAUAAGCAUUUCGGCGGGAGAAAUUGACAAGUUUUAUCUCUCGUCGACGAUGAGCGUUCUUCAUCAUCCGACCGCAGAAUGAUGCUGCCGCGCGAUACAAUCUUUCUCUGAUAUUCAAUGAAACGCAUAUAUAGUAUCAUGAAAUAUCUCGUACAAUUAAUGUUUAUUCAUUUUCAAUUUCAUUAAACAGAAAAAGUGUGAAAUAUCGAUAAGCCGAAACAUCCUAAUGAGCGAGCGUUAAACGACUCUUCAGAUCUCGAAAGCACGCCAUCAACGAUAAGAUGCUAUCCUUUGGUCCAGUGUUUCUCAAACUCAAAUGUGAGUAUAUAUACCGUUCUUCAGUUGCACCCAAUUGUGUCGAAUGUUUCUGUCAAUCUAACAAGCCAUUCUACAGAGAGUCGGACUCGUCUGGCGAGUAUCUCGAUGCUUACUGCCGCGUUCGGCUUCCUGAUAUCCGGUCGCGGUGGUAAACCGGAAACACGGCUGACCGGAAACGGAGCGAAACUAGAACUGAACCGAUCAUCUCUACCUUCUUUUACAACAGAGUCGUUCAGACUCGCAACGGGAGAUCGUAAGCCGCUAAAAAAGGAAUUCUUUUGUUCAACAAUAAAUUUUGGAACAAGCUGUAAGCGCCUAUAAAUAAUGCAAAGGAAUAUAUUUGAAUGUCAAAAUAGUUGAAACGAUUUAUCGAGAAUACAAAAAAGAGACAUAAAGAGAGAAGAGGGAAAAGGAAAAAACAAGUCACUUCUAUCUUAAAAUAUGCUCAAUUUAUUCAAAAUAAAUCACAACCAUAUAAAUUU